rnacentral:lncRNA from 1 species
CCCACAGGCAGCCCCACAGGGACCCCAUAGAGCCCUAUAGACCCCCAUAGAGACCCCAGGCAGCCGCAUAGGGCCCCCCCAGGGACCCCACAGAGCCCUAUAGGGCCCCAAGGAGCCACUGCAGCGUCCCCUGGCAGCCCCACAGAGGCCCCAGGGGCCUUAUAGGGCCCUAUAGGCCCCACAGAGCCCCCGGAGAGUCCCCCAGGGUUCGCUAUAGAGGCCUACGGGUCCCCACGGAGACCCAAGAAGACCCUAUAGAGCCCUGUACGCCCUCCCAGAGCUCCCAGGAGCCCCACAGAGCCCCCCAGGGACCCCAUAGAGUCCCCAGGCAGCCCCACAGGGUCCUUAUAGCACCCCAUAGGGCCCCAAUAUCGCCCCGCAGAGCACUAAUAGAGCCCUAUGGGGCCCCAGCAUCACCCCUUAGGGCCCUUAUAGUGCCCCAUAGGGCCCCAAUAGAGCCCCAUAGGGACCUAACGGAGCCCCAGAGAGCACUAACAGAGCCCUAUAGGGCCCCAAUAAAGCCCCAUAAGGACCUUGUAGUGCCCCAGAGGGCCCUUAUAGCACCCCCUAGGGCCCCAAUAUCACCCCCUAGGGCCCUUAUAGUGCCCCCUAGGGCCCUUAUAGCACCCCAUAGUGCCCCAUAGAGCCCCAGUAGAGCCCUAUAGGGACCUAAUGGAGCCCCACAGGGCCCUACAGGACCCCAACAGAGCCCCAAUACCACCCCUAGGGCCCUUAUAGCGCCCCAUAGGGCCCCAAUACCACCCCCUAGGGCCCUUAUAGCGCCCCAUAGGGUCCCAAUACCACCCCCUAGGGCCCUUAUAGCGCCCCACAGGGCCCCAAUAUCACCCAUAGAGCCCCAAUAGAGCCCUAGAGGGACCUAAUGGAGCCCCACAGGGCCCUAUAGGACCCCAAUAGAGCCCCAAUCCCACCCCCUAGGGCCCUUAUAGCCCCCCACAGGGCCCCAAUACCACCCCCUAGGGCCCUUAUGGCACCCCAUAGGGCCCCAAUGUCACCCAUAGAGCCCCAAUAGAGCCCUAGAGGAACAUAAUGGAGCCCCACAGGGCCCUAUAGGACCCCAAUAGAGCCCCAAUACCACCCCCUAGGGCCCUUAUAGC